rnacentral:rRNA from 1 species
GAUGAACGCUGGCGGCGUGCUUAACACAUGCAAGUCGAACGGGAAUUAUUUUCUUGAAACUUCGGUCGAUUUAAUUUAAUUCUAGUGGCGGCCGGGUGAGUCACGCGUGGCUAACCUGCCUUAUUCAGGGAGCUAACAGUCAGAAAUGGCUGCUACUACCGCAUAAGCGCACAGGUCUGCAUGUCUCAGCGGGAGAAACUCCGGUGGUAUCGAAUGGACCCGCGUUGGAUUAGCUGGCUGGUGGGGUCACUGCCAAGCAGCGCGGCGGAGCAUGGCCGGCCGGAGAGGGUGAACGGCCACAUUGGGACUGAGACACGGCCCCGACUCCGACGGGGGGCAGCAGUGGGGAAUAUUGCACAAGGAGGGAAACCCUGAUGAAGCGACGCCGCGUGAAGGAAGAAGUAUCUCGGUAUGUAAACUUCUAUCAGCAGGGAAGAGAGUGACGGUACCUGACUAAGAAGCCCCGGCUAACUACGUG